rnacentral:antisense_RNA from 1 species
GAUUUGGUCGCUGCGCUCCGUUUAAGCCAGUCACCACGGUUCAGAAGUUCCCCAACUUACUGAACCUUGAAAAAACCGCCUCCCCAGGCGGUUUUUUC